CCUACGGGUGGCAGCAGUGGGGAAUAUUGCACAAUGGGGGGAACCCUGAUGCAGCGACGCCGCGUGAAGGAAGAAGUAUUUCGGUAUGUAAACUUCUAUCAGCAGGGAAGAAAAUGACGGUACCUGACUACGACGCCCCGGCUAACUACGUGCCAGCAGCCGCGGUAAUACGUAGGGGGCAAGCGUUAUCCGGAUUUACUGGGUGUAAAGGGAGCGUAGACGGCUGUGCAAGUCUGAAGUGAAAGCCCGUGGCUCAACCGCGGAACUGCUUUGGAAACUGUAUAGCUUGAGUACUGGAGAGGCAGGCGGAAUUCCUAGUGUAGCGGUGAAAUGCGUAGAUAUUAGGAGGAACACCAGUGGCGAAGGCGGCCUGCUGGACAGAAACUGACGUUGAGGCUCGAAAGUGUGGGUAUCAAACAGGAUUAGAUACCCCGGUAGUC
rnacentral:rRNA from 1 species